UUAAAUGAUGAAAACUAAUAGGAAGAGCCAUCGGAUGCGAUAACUGAUGAUCCUAUUUUCUGACU